AAACACGUGAUUUUCAAGUUAAAUGGGGGAUUUCCGAAGAGAAAACGCGUGAUUUUCGCUUAAAUGGGGUAUUUGAGAAGAGAAAAUUCGUGAUCUUCACUUAAAUGGGGGACUUGCAAAGAGAAAACGCUUGAUUUUCACUUAAAUUGACGAUUCUCAAAGAGAAAACGCGAGAUUUUCACUUAAAUGGGGGAUUUGCGAAGGGAAAACGUGUGAUUUCUGGUUAAAUGUGGGAUUUCUGAAGAGAAAACUCGUGGUUUUUUGGGUUAAUUGGGGGAUUUGCGAAGAGAAAAUGCGUGAUUUUUGCUUAAAUGGGGGAUUUGAGAAAACACAUGAUUUUCGGGUUAAAUGGGGGAUUUCGGAAGAGAAAACUCGUGGUUUUUUGGGUUAAUUGGGGGAUUUGCGAAGAGAAAUCGCGUGAUUUUCGCUUAAAUGGGGGAUUUGAGAAAACACGUGAUUUUCGGGUUAAAUGGGGGAUUCUCGAAGAGAAAAUGCUUGGUUUUCCGGUUAAAUGGGGGAUUUGCGAAGAGAAAUCGCGUGAUUUUCGCUUAAAUGGGGGAUUUGAGAAAACACAUGAUUUUCGGGUUAAAUGGGGGAUUCUCGAAGAGAAAAUGCUUGGUUUUCUGGUUAAAUGGGGGAUUUGCGAAGAGAAAACGCGUGAUUUUCGCUUAAAUGGGGGAUUUGAGAAAACGCUUGAUUUUCGGGUUAAAUGGGGGAUUCUCGAAGAGAAAAUGCUUGGUUUUCUGGUUAAAUGGGGGAUUUGCGAAGAGAAAACACGUGAUUUUCGCUUCAAUGGGGGAUUUCCGAAGAGAAAACGCAUGAUUUUCUGGUUAAAUGUUGGAUUCUCGAAGAGAAAACGCGUGAUUUUCGCUUAAAUGGGGGAUUCGAGAAAACGCGUGAUUUUCGUUAAAUGUUGGAUUCUCGAAGAGAAAACGCGUGAUUUUCACUUAAAUGGGGGAUUUUGAAGAGAAAACGCAUGAUUUUCUGGUUAAAUGGGGGAUUUGCGAAGAGAAAACGCGUGAUUUUCGCUUAAAUGGGGGAUUUGAGAAGAGAAAAUUCGUGAUCUUCACUUAAAUGGGAGGAUUCUCAAAGAGAAAACGCUUGAUUUUCACUUAAAUUGACGAUUCUCAAAGGGAAAACGCGAGAUUUUCACUUAAAUGGGGGUUUUGCGAAGGGAAAAUGUGUGAUUUUGCUUAAAUGUGGGAUUUCGGAAGAGAAAACUCGUGGUUUUUUGGGUUAAUUGGGGGAUUUGCGAAGAGAAAUCGCGUGAUUUUCGCUUAAAUGGGGGAUUUGAGAAAACACAUGAUUUUCGGGUUAAAUGGGGGAUUCUCGAAGAGAAAAUGCUUGGUUUUCUGGUUAAAUGGGGGAUUUGCGAAGAGAAAACGCGUGAUUUUCGCUUAAAUGGGGGAUUUGAGAAAACGCAUGAUUUUCUGGUUAAAUGUUGGAUUCUCGAAGAGAAAACGCGUGAUUUUCGCUUAAAUGGGGGAUUUGAGAAAACGCGUGAUUUUUGUUAAAUGGGGGAUUCUCGAAGAGAAAACGCGUGAUUUUCGCUUAAAUGUGGGAUUCUCGAAGAGAAAACGCGUGAUUUUCGCUUAAAUGGGGUAUUUGAGAAGAGAAAAUUCGUGAUCUUCACUUAAGUGGGGAUUUCAAAGAGAAAACGCUUGAUUUUCACUUAAAUUGACGAUUCUCAAAGAGAAAAAGCGAGAUUUUCACUUAAAUGGGGGAUUUGCGAAGGGAAAACGUGUGAUUUCUGGUUAAAUGUGGGAUUUCUGAAGAGAAAACUCGUGUUUUUUUGUGUUAAUUGGGAGAUUUUGCGAAGAGAAAAUGCGUUUUUCGCUUAAAUGGGGGAUUUGAGAAAAACACGUGAUUUUCGGGUUAAAUGGGGGAUUCUUGAAGAGAAAAUGCUUGGUUUUCUGGUUAAAUGGGGGAUUUGCGAAGAGAAAACGCGUGACUUUCGCUUAAAUGGGGGAUUUGAGAAAACGCAUGAUUUUCUGGUUAAAUGUUGGAUUCUCGAAGAGAAAACGCGUGAUUUUCGCUUAAAUGGGGGAUUUGAGAAAACGCGUGAUUUUCGUUAAAUGUUGGAUUCUCGAAGAGAAAACGCGUGAUUUUCGCUUAAAUGGGGGAUUUGCGAAGAGAAAACGCGUGAUUUUCGCUUAAAUGGGGGAUUUCUGAAGAGAAAACGUGUGAUUUUCGCUUAAAUGGGGUAUUUGAGAAGAGAAAAUUCGUGAUCUUCACUUAAAUGGGGGAUUCUCACAGAGAAAACGCUUGAUUUUCACUUAAAUUGACGAUUCCAAGAGAAACGCGAGAUUUCACUUAAAUGGGGGUUUUGCGAAGGGAAAACGUGUGAUUUCUGGUUAAAUGUGGGAUUUCUGAAGAGAAAACUCGUGUUUUUUUGUGUUAAUUGGGGGAUUUGCGAAGAGAAAAUGCGUAAUUUUCGCUUAAAUGGGGGAUUUGAGAAAACACAUGAUUUUCGGGUUAAAUGGGGGAUUCUCGAAGAGAAAAUGCUUGGUUUUCCGGUUAAAUGGGGGAUUUGCGAAGAGAAAACGCGUGAUUUUCGCUUAAAUGGGGGAUUUCCGAAGAGAAACGCAUGAUUUUCUGGUUAAAUGUUGGAUUCUCGAAGAGAAAACGCGUGAUUUUCGCUUAAAUGGGGGAUUUGAGAAAACGCGUGAUUUUCGUUAAAUGUUGGAUUCUCGAAGAGAAAACUCGUGAUUUUCGCUUAAAUGGGGGAUUUCCGAAGAGAAACGCGUGAUUUUCAAGUUAAAUGGGGGAUUUCCGAAGAGAAAACGCGUGUUUUUCGCUUAAAUGGGGGAUUUGAGAAAACGCUUGAUUUUCGUUAAAUGUUGGUUUCCCGAAGAGAAAACGC
rnacentral:lncRNA from 7 species